rnacentral:rRNA from 1 species
GAUGAACGCUCGCUACAGGCUUAACACAUGCAAGUCGAGGGGCAGCAUGAACUUAGCUUGCUAAGUUUGAUGGCGACCGGCGCACGGGUGAGUAACACGUAUCCAACCUGCCGAUGACUCGGGGAUAGCCUUUCGAAAGAAAGAUUAAUACCCGAUGGCAUAGUUCUUCCGCAUGGUAGAACUAUUAAAGAAUUUCGGUCAUCGAUGGGGAUGCGUUCCAUUAGGUUGUUGGCGGGGUAACGGCCCACCAAGCCUUCGAUGGAUAGGGGUUCUGAGAGGAAGGUCCCCCACAUUGGAACUGAGACACGGUCCAAACUCCUACGGGAGGCAGCAGUGAGGAAUAGUGGUCAAUGGACGAGAGUCUGAACCAGCCAAGUAGCGUGAAGGAUGACUGCCCUAUGGGUUGUAAACUUCUUUUAUACGGGAAUAAAGUGAGGCACGGGUGCCUUUUUGUAUGUACCGUAUGAAUAAGGAUCGGCUAACUCCGUG